AGGAUAAUAGUUUAAACUAAAACAUUUAAUUUGCAUUUAAAAAAUAUUAAAUUAAUUUAUCUUA
rnacentral:tRNA from 1 species